rnacentral:rRNA from 1 species
CAACGUGAACAACCUGUCCCUACGUUCCGGAUAAUUGACCGAAAGGUCUUGUAAUACGGGGGAGGGUCCACCGGAGGCAUCUUCAGGUGGAAGGAACGCGCGGGAGCAAUUCUGUGCGGCGCGGGGAGGGGUUCGCGGAUUAUCAGCUUGUUGGUGAGGUAACGGCUCACCAAGGCGACGACGAUUAGCUGGUCUGAGAGGAUGGUCAGCCACAUUGGAACUGAGACACUGUCCAG